rnacentral:rRNA from 1 species
UACAGAGGGUGCAAGCGUUAAUCGGAAUUACUGGGCGUAAAGGGCGCGUAGGCGGAGUAUUAAGUUAGAUGUGAAAUCCCUGGGCUUAACCUGGGAAUGGCAUUUAAUACUGAUAAUCUAGAGUAGAGUAGGGGGAAGUGGAAUUUCCGGUGUAGCGGUGAAAUGCGUAGAGAUCGGAAAGAACACCAGUGGCGAAGGCGGCUUCCUGGACUCAUACUGACGCUGAGGCGCGAAAGCGUGGGGAGCAAACAGG